UAAAUAUAAAUAAUUUAACAACUUAAAUUAGAAAAAAAUAAAAAUCCCGGGCGUAGCCCGGGUUAAUCCCUAGUCAUAUAUAAUGAGGCACUUUUGCCUCUCCUAAGCCUAUCCACGUGUCCUUAUUUUUAAAAGGGUGGGUCCCACGAAAAAAUCAGAAAAGGGUUUGUCUUUGUUAACUGCAAAUGUGAUUGGUCUUAGUGUCUUUAAAAGCCCUUUUUGAAGGUUUAGGCCCACUUAAUGUCCGGCUGGUUUUGGUUGAUUGGGUUAUUAGUUUCGUUUGGUUUAGUUAGUUGGAAUGGUAUUCAAUUGUCCUUGGGUUCGGUUAGGGUCUUUCACGUUUGAUUUCGUAUAAGCUGAAAAUGUAGCGUUUAGUGAUCCCUCUAUCUGAUUAGGGCUUCCUAUCUCUCUUUCUUGCUUACAGAACUGGAUCCGUCGUUGUAGCAUAUCAUGAUCUGCACAACGCAUGUUUGUAUUCUCAUCUCUUGAACUCUCCAGUCGGUCUCUCUUCAUUUCCACGUUGUUCAAUGUAUUUCUUUAAAUUCUGGAAUAAAUGUUAUUCGCAGUCAACCCAUUCUCGGUUUCGACACUUCUGUUUGCUUCUUCUCAUAGCUAUAUAUAUCAGCGAUUUGAGAGCAUGCUUGAUCCUCAGAAACCCCUAUCAGUUUAUCAUCUUAUAAAGCAUUGAAAGAUUCAGAAAGAUGGCUUCCUAUGAUGCUGUUCUCGCUCACUCAGCCUCAUAAGAUCUGCCUAGUUCAUCGUUGGUCGUCUGCUACAUUUUUGGGACUCGAAAAACAUUAAGAAGCAGAGCGAAUUCAUGGGAAUCACUCUACUCCUCCUUGAUGAGAAGAAUUCGGUUAUACAUGGGAUUCAUUCCUGCUGCUCGCUCCCCUUAUUACCGUCCGUUACUGAAAUCGAGUUCAGUCGUGAGAGUUUCCCGCUUUGAGGUUGCAGGAUGUACAAAAAUAUGUACUAGAUAACGGACCACCCUUUCGUGAUCCGGUUUAUCCCCCAGACAACCAUUGAUGAAGUUAUUGAGAACGCUCUUGUGAUCAACGUUGAGAAAUUCAUCCUGCGGAAGUUUGACCCUCUCCAAGCUCUCGCAAACACUAAUUUAGAACUCCUCGAUGUUGUUGGGCAGAUUCAAUAUGUCCAAGUUUCGGACCUAACGGACGCUGGAGUUACGACUCGAGUUGUUGUCCAUUUUUUGAUUGAACCGUAAGUAACCAAAACCGUUGUUUAGUUUGCCUUUCUUAUAAAUGUCGUCUUCAUGGUAAUAACUUAUUUCCAUACGCAUAACAGGAGGGUGGUCGUGUACCUCUCUUUGUGGGAUGAUGCUGCAUCAAUUUUUGGGGUCUCAUCAACUCAGGUGAUAACACACAGACUGUCAUGGUGGUCACUACUGUGAAUCCCAAAAUAUUUGGAGGUAACCUAUACCUCAACUCAACCCCAGCAACGAAAUUUUAUUUCGACCCAGCCCUACAAGCCAUCGCAGAGUUCACGGCCAGCUUAAAAGGCCGAUCGGGGGGAAUAUUUUCCCUGCAUCGAUACCAAAGAUGGCAUAAAAAGAAGGAAGUUGUCUCCAUAGGAGAGCUAAACAAGUUCAUUAUCAACUCUGAUGAACAGACAUAGGAAGCUGAUUUCAUUUGCAAGGCUCGGGUUGUGGAAGUCCUUCCACAAAAUGGUUGGUCUUUCGUUUCUUGCACUGGCUGCAGCAAGAAGCUUGGCAAGUUUAGGGAUUCUGUCCGUUGAAACCGUUGUGCUAAUCCCAACGUUACAGGAGUUAUAAAGUACCGGGUUGAAUGGAGAUGAUAAUGCCACUUUUGUGGUCUUCGACUGGGAGAUGGUCAAGCUUACUAAGCGGAGGAUGCAGCUGGCCUGACUCUUGAUGAGAUGAAUGGUGGUGGGGGCGAGGAACUCCCGCAAUGUGUUAAAGACCUUGCUGGAAAAGAAUUUAUUUUCCAGAUACGUGUGACACCAUUCAAUUUUUCCUCAAGCCACCGUACUUUCACUGUUUCUGCAAUCAUUGAUAGCAUUGCUCCGGAGGUAUUACAUAUAAGAUUGUUUGGAUUACCUUAUCAACUAAGUAAUUUCAUAAUAACAUAAUUUAAACUGUUUAGCAAAUGUUCAAGACCACUGAAGAUGAAUAUAUUUAGGUGGAAGGUGGUGAAGCAUCAGCAUCUGACAGCAAGAAUGUUAAAGAUGAAGCCAAUGAACCAAGUUCAUCCGCUGAUGGAGGCGCACAAGGUACCCGUAAACACCGCCGUGAGUGAAGUUAAAAAGCAGGUUCACCGUCAACCCACCUUUGCUUUCGUUUCAUCUAUGCAGUUACUAUUUUAGACUUUCCAUUUUCUUUCUAUUUUAAGGGUUUUUUUUUGCAAGACACAAAUGCUUUUAAUAUUUAACUACAAGGGUUGAUGUAAUAUUUAACAUGGUUGAUUACAAAUUUUACAACAUGCCACUAGCAUCGAAAACUAAUUACAAACAUUUCCUCUAAAUAUUAUGUAUUCAAGAUCUUACUCGAA